rnacentral:rRNA from 1 species
GGUAGGAAUACCCGGGACGGGAC